rnacentral:tRNA from 1 species
GCGACGUUAGCUCAGUUGGAUAGAGCACGGGCCUUCUAAGCCCGGGGUCAGAGGUUCGAACCCUCUACGUCGCA